AUCAAUAACUAUUUGGGUGCCUUACCCUAGAGCCGCCCUGGAUUGAUUUCCUUGGAUUGAUUUACAGAUAUUAUACGAAUGAGUGCUGCUGUGCUUCCUAAACAUGUGGCUGCUGUAUUAAAAUGUCAAAAGAACCCAUUAAGGGCACUAGAAAUAUUCAAUUCAGUGAAAAAGGAAGAUGGGUUUAACCAUAAUUUGUCUACCUAUAAAUGUAUGGUCGAAAAGCUUGGUUGUUAUGGGGAGUUCAAUGAAAUGGAAGGCGUCAUCGAAAAAGCGAGGCAGAAGAUUGAUAAUAAGAUGUUAGAAGGGGUGUACAUUACUGCUAUUAGAAGUUAUGGGAAGAAAGGGAAAGUUCAAGAGGCGGUUGACGUGUUUGAGAAGAUGGAGUUUUUCAAUUGUCAGCCGUCUGUUCAUUCGUAUAACACGAUCAUGAAUGUAUUGGUUGAACAUGGGUUUUUUAAACAAUCUCAUAAGGUUUAUAUGAGAAUGCUGGAAAAGGGGAUUUCUCCUGAUGUAUAUACCUUUACUAUUAGAAUAAAGUCGUUUUGUAGGACGAACCGGCCUCAUGUUGCUUUGAGGCUUUUGAAUAACAUGCCCGAUCAAGGAUGCAAAUUUAAUGCAGUUGCUUACUGUACAGUAGUUGGUGGAUUUUAUGAAGUGAAUUGUCGAGUUGAGGCUUGCGAAUUGUUCGAUGAAAUGCUUAGGCUCGGAAUAACUCCUGAUGUUACUACGUUUAAUAAGCUUAUAUGUAUGCUUUGUAAGAAGGGGGAUGUCCAAGAAAGUGAAAGGCUUCUUAAUAAGAUUAUGAAAAGAGGAGUGUUUCCAAAUCUUUUUACAUGUAAUGUCUUGAUGCAAGGUCUUUCUGAGAGAGGCCAACUAAAUGAAGCUGCUAGGAUGUUAGAGACUUUGAACAAAGAAGGUUUAAAUGCUGAUGUAGUCACUUAUAACACUCUUAUAUGUGGUUUAUGCAAGCACUCAAAGGUUGCUGAAGCUGAGUCUUAUUUGCAUAAAAUGGUGAACAGUGGGUUUGAGCCUGAUGCAUUCACCUAUAACACAAUCAUUGGUGCAUAUUGCAAAUUGGGUAUGAUACAGAAAGCAGACAGAAUUCUUAAUAAUGCAGUUUUUAAAGGUUUUGUUCCUGAUGAGUUUACUUUCUGCUCCCUUAUUUAUGGAUUAUGUCAGGAUGGUGACUUUAACAGAGCCAAGAGUUUAUUUAAUGAAGCCGCAGGUAAAGGUAUGAAGUGUAAUGUAAUCCUAUAUAAUACCUUAAUUAAGGGAAUGUGUCAGCAGGGACUUAUAUUAGAAGCGUUGAAGUUGAUGACUGAAAUGCCUGAGAAUGGUUGCAGGCCUGAUACAUGGACUUAUAAUCUGAUCAUAAAGGGUUUGUGCAAGAUGGGCUGUGUAUCUGAUGCUAGUAAUAUCCUGAAUGUUGCCGUGGCCAAAGGGACCCUUCCUGAUAUUUUUACCUUCAAUACCUUGAUUGAUGGUUAUUGCAAACAGUCGAAAUUGGCUGAUGCAAUCGAGAUUCUAAAUACCAUGUGGGAUCAUGACGUUGUUCCAGAUGUGAUAACGUAUAACACAAUGUUGGAUGGACUUUGCAAGCUUAAAACUUCUGAUGAUGUGAUGGAAACCUUCAAAGUCAUGGUGGAAAAGGGGUGUGUCCCAAACAUAAUCACAUAUAAUAUUCUCAUUGAGAGCCUUUGUAAAUCAAGAAAGUUUAUGAAAGCUUUAGACUUACUUGAGGAUAUUCAAAGCAAGGGUCUUAUUCCUGAUACAGUGACUUUUGGCACUUUGAUAAAUGGGUUUUGUGAGAAUGAGGAUUUGGAAGGAGCCUAUGAGCUAUUCAGAAGAAUGAAAACACAAUAUAAUUGCUCUCAUACUACUGCAACGUACAAUAUUUUGAUUAGUGCAUUUGCUAAAAAGCUGAAAAUGGACAUAGCAGAGAAGCUAUUUCUUGAGAUGAGUGAAUGUGGCUGUUCUCCUGACAAUUACACCUACCGUUGUAUGAUAGAUGGUUUCUGCAAGGCAGACAACAGCGAAUUGGGGUACAAGUUUUUGCUUGACAACAUGACGAAAGAGUUUCUUCCAUCAAAAGAAACAGUAGGGCGAGUGAUCAAUUGCCUAUGCGUGAAGAACAGGUUGCUCGAAGCAGUUGGUAUCAUUCAUCUCAUGGUGCAGAAGGGUGUUGUACCUGAUGUGGUCCACACAAUUUUUGAAGCAGAUAAAAAGGAUGUGGCAGCUCCCAAGAUCGUUGUGGAAGACUUGCUGAAGAAGAAUCACAUAACCUAUUAUGCCUAUGAGCUUUUAUACGACGGGAUAAGAGACAAAAAGGUUUUGAAGAAAUUAUCCGUGCAGAAAAUAUUCUACCACUAGUCACUUGAGCAUUGAUGGCAAUCAAACUAAGGUAAUAUUGAGUCACGAUUUGUGAGAAGUAGCAAAACAUGAUUGAAGCUAUGCUGUUUCAAAUCCAUCUUACAAGAGCGAUAUAGCUGUAGUCUCAUGAAGAAGACAGUGGUGCAAAAACAUGAUGGCGAAAGCCUGUGACAGUAGCUGAAAACAGCGGACCUUUGAAGAGAGAGUGGGUUUAGCCUCAAUGCUUCUUGGCUAACUCAAUCAUGUUGAUUCAAUGCUUAAUUAUCCAAUGAUGUUUCCCAAGUCUCUCCAUGGGACAUCUCCUGGUUACACCUCUCAGCACUCUUAGAUCAGCAUGUGUGAGAGUUGGUGAGAGAAUAUCGCCAUGACUGAAAUGCAUGGGGCGUGGAUGGUAGAAGUUGAUCUGAAUAUCAAGAGUGGAAUCUUAGAUGCAGUGAAAUCUUUUACCCCUUAACUGAUGUUGUGAACUGAUAACUCUCUCUGAGGCAAGGCGUAGAUCUCCUUUAUGGGACAUGCAGAGCAUAAUGACUUGGGUCAUUGCUUAAUAGAGCCUAAAGCCAUCUUUUCUGGAGCUAUCAAACAGAAUUUUGACAGUUGAAAAUGGUUAGAUCUAAUCAGCUAGUAUUUGGUAUAUCGUAAAUGUUGUCUUCUUGUGGAACUGUUCUUCUAUUGUUUCUUGAUAAGUGAACAUAAAAAGUGUUUGUGU